UACGUAGGGUGCAAGCGUUAUCCGGAAUUAUUGGGCGUAAAGAGCUCGUAGGCGGUUUGUCGCGUCUGCUGUGAAAACUGGAGGCUCAACCUCCAGCCUGCAGUGGGUACGGGCAGACUAGAGUGCGGUAGGGGAGAUUGGAAUUCCUGGUGUAGCGGUGGAAUGCGCAGAUAUCAGGAGGAACACCGAUGGCGAAGGCAGGUCUCUGGGCCGAUACUGACGCUGAGGAGCGAAAGCGUGGGGAGCAAACAGG
rnacentral:rRNA from 1 species